CAUGCAGCCUCAGAGUACAUGGAAUAACAGUAGAUCUGUGAAUGGCUCAUUACAUCAGCAAUAAUCUACGCGGUGACGUGGGGGUUUCAACCCUACCUACUGGAUACCCAGGCUAACUGCCUGGCUAAUACAUGGACGAAAAACGCUCUCUCACUUGACGCGCGGCAGCGGGGCGACUCGUCUGUUGCGUGGAGAUAGCGUGCAUUCAGCCGAUACCAAGACCAGCGCCCGCAAGGGCAGCGUGCAUUGAUGAUUCAGGCUGUCCUGUGCAAUAGCAGAGUGAUGUACAUCAUCGCUGCUUGACCGCACGAACUUCUGACCUAUCAGCUUAGGACUGUGGUGUAGUGGACCACUGUGGCUAUCACGGGUAACGGAGAAUUAGGGUUUGAUACCGGAGAGGGAGCCUGAUACACGGCUACCACUGCUAAGGUGGGCAGCAGGCACGCAAAUUGCCCAAUACCAGCACACCUGGUGAGGCAGCAACGAGCUGUAGCAAUUCCGCCGGUCCCUGUGACAGGCGGAAUUUGCAAUGGAUGCCAUAUCCAAACCCAGCAAUGAUGAUCAACUGGAGGG
rnacentral:rRNA from 1 species